AGAGUUUGAUCCUGGCUCAGGACGAACGCUGGCGGCGCGCCUAACACAUGCAAGUCGAACGGAGCAUUGAGAGCUUGCUUUUAAUGCUUAGUGGCGAACGGGUGAGUAACGCGUGAGUAACCUGCCCUGGAGUGGGGGACAACAGUUGGAAACGACUGCUAAUACCGCAUAAGCCCACGGGUCCGCAUGGACCUGCGGGAAAAGGAUUUAUUCGCUCUAGGAUGGACUCGCGUCCAAUUAGCUAGUUGGUGAGGUAACGGCCCACCAAGGCGACGAUUGGUAGCCGGACUGAGAGGUUGAACGGCCACAUUGGGACUGAGACACGGCCCAGACUCCUACGGGAGGCAGCAGUGGGGGAUAUUGCACAAUGGGGGAAACCCUGAUGCAGCGACGCCGCGUGGAGGAAGAAGGUUUUCGGAUUGUAAACUCCUGUCGUUAGGGACGAUAAUGACGGUACCUAACAAGAAAGCACCGGCUAACUACGUGCCAGCAGCCGCGGUAAAACGUAGGGUGCAAGCGUUGUCCGGAAUUACUGGGUGUAAAGGGAGCGCAGGCGGACCGGCAAGUUGGAAGUGAAAACCAUGGGCUCAACCCAUGAAUUGCUUUCAAAACUGCUGGCCUUGAGUAGUGCAGAGGUAGGUGGAAUUCCCGGUGUAGCGGUGGAAUGCGUUGAUAUCGGGAGGAACACCAGUGGCGAAGGCGACCUACUGGGCACCAACUGACGCUGAGGCUCGAAAGCAUGGGUAGCAAACAGGAUUAGAUACCCUGGUAGUCCAUGCCGUAAACGAUGAUUACUAGGUGUUGGAGGAUUGACCCCUUCAGUGCCGCAGUUAACACAAUAAGUAAUCCACCUGGGGAGUACGACCGCAAGGUUGAAACUCAAAGGAAUUGACGGGGGCCCGCACAAGCAGAGGAACAUGUGGUUUAAUUCGAUGAUACGCGAGGAACCUUACCCGGGCUUGAAUUGCAGAGGAAGGAUUUGGAGACAAUGACGCCCUUCGGGGUCUCUGUGAAGGUGCUGCAUGGUUGUCGUCAGCUCGUGCCGUGAGGUGUCGGCUUAAGUGCCAUAACGAGCGCAACCCCUCUCCUUAGUUGCCAUCAGGUUAAGCUGGGCACUCUGGGGACACUGCCACCGUAAGGUGUGAGGAAGGUGGGGAUGACGUCAAAUCAGCACGGCCCUUACGUCCGGGGCUACACACGUGUUACAAUGGCAGGUACAGAGAGACGGUUGUACGUAAGUACGAUCAAAUCCUUAAAGCCUGUCUCAGUUCGGACUGGGGUCUGCAACCCGACCCCACGAAGCUGGAUUCGCUAGUAAUCGCGCAUCAGCCAUGGCGCGGUGAAUACGUUCCCGGGCCUUGUACACACCGCCCGUCAAGCCAUGAAAGCCGGGGGCGCCUAAAGUCCGUGACCGUAAGGAGCGGCCUAGGGCGAGACUGGUAAUUGGGGCUAGUCGUAACAAGGUA
rnacentral:rRNA from 1 species